rnacentral:rRNA from 1 species
UGAACCUGCAGAUGGAUCAUUAACACAUCCAUAUCAAACUAAACACAAUUAAUUCUAAAACCUCAGCGAUGGAUAUCUCGGCUCUCGUAACGAUGAAGAACGCAGCCAACUGCGAAAACCACUGCGAAUUGCAGAACCAUGAGUCAGUAGAUUUUUGAACGCAACCGGUGCCCUCUGGGCAUGUUUGGUUCAGUGCCUCUUUUGCUUUCAACUGCGAGUGCUGAGCUCUCGCUAAGCUUUCCUGUCUAGGGUCUGACAAGUUAGACUCAGGAUCUUCGAGUGCCUGAACUCAAGCAAGAUUACCCGCUGAACUUAAGCAUAUUACUAAGCGGAGGAAAAGAAACUAACAAGGAUUGUCUUAGUAACUGCGAGUGAACCGGCAAAAGCCCAGUCUGGAAAUCGCUUCGGCGAAUUGUACAGUUCAGACAUAAAUCUUAAGUCUAGUGCAGGCGUAACUUGGCUGGAACGCCAGACCGAAGAAGGUGAUAGUCCUGUGCCGCCUGUGCAAAGCGAAAGAUUGUGUUCCACGAGUCGGACAGUUUGGGAUUGCUGUCCUAAGUGGGAGGUAGACUUCUUCUAAGGCUAAAUACUGACGAGAGACCGAUAGCGAACAAGUACUGUGAAGGAAAGAUGAAAAGAACUUUGAAAAAAGGGUUAAAAUACUUGAAAUCGCUGUGGAGGAAGCUAUGAGCUCGGCUUUUUUGUGAGUGGAACUGCUGGCACGCUGGCAGGGGAGCUUGCAGGAAAACUCAGCAAGUGUUCUGAAUGUGUGCUCCGAAGCUGUUAGCUAGGUCAGCCACAUUUAAGGGCAUUUCCUGAGUAGCUGAGCCCAUUGA